AUUGAACGCUGGCGGCAGGCCUAACACAUGCAAGUCGAGCGGAUGAGUGGAGCUUGCUCCAUGAUUCAGCGGCGGACGGGUGAGUAAUGCCUAGGAAUCUGCCUGGUAGUGGGGGACAACGUUUCGAAAGGAACGCUAAUACCGCAUACGUCCUACGGGAGAAAGCAGGGGACCUUCGGGCCUUGCGCUAUCAGAUGAGCCUAGGUCGGAUUAGCUAGUAGGUGAGGUAAAGGCUCACCUAGGCGACGAUCCGUAACUGGUCUGAGAGGAAGAUCAGUCACACUGGAACUGAGACACGGUCCAGACUCCUACGGGAGGCAGCAGUGGGGAAUAUUGGACAAUGGGCGAAAGCCUGAUCCAGCCAUGCCGCGUGUGUGAAGAAGGUCUUCGGAUUGUAAAGCACUUUAAGUUGGGAGGAAGGGCAGUAAGCUAAUACCUUGCUGUUUUGACGUUACCAACAGAAUAAGCACCGGCUAACUUCGUGCCAGCCGCCGCAGUAAGAC
rnacentral:rRNA from 1 species